rnacentral:lncRNA from 1 species
GUAGCAGUUAUGGCCACCAAAGUCAUAGCUCACGCCCUCAAUCCGGUAGCAGUUAUAGCCACCAAAGUCAUAGCUCACGCCCUCAAUCCAGUAGCAGUUAUGGCCACCAAAGUCAUAACUCACACUCUCAGUCUGGUAACAGUUAUGGCCACCAAAGCCAUAGCUUACGCUCUCAAUCCUAUGACAGUGAUGGCAACCAGAGCCACAGUUCACACUCACAAUCAAGUGCGUCACACUAAUAGUGAGGAACUAUCAUCU